AAUUCAAGGAUACCUCACACUUCUUUUAAAUAUACUUUACAUAUGCAUAUGUUACAAAUACAAAUAUGCCUACUUAAAUAUUAUAUAGCAUUAUUGUUAGAGAAUUUUUGAAAUAGAAAAAGAAUAUACAUAUUUACAUAUACAUAUCCUCUACUGUUCUUUAGUUCUUAUCUCAUUAAUUCAAAAGAGUUUUCUUUUUCUUCUCUAAAACCCAAAUUCCAAACACAUAUUUUUAAGUCUAAUCAUCACCCAUCAUAUAGCAACAAGUACUUUUGAUAAGAGCAUCCAAUGCAUGGCCACCAUAGAACCUGAACAAAUGACGACUAGUUAGAGAGCCUUGUUGUCCACCACCUCCAUGCCCAAAGCCUUUGCAGAUACUGCUGCAAGUAUUGUAGGGAUUUAUGUAUUAUGCAAUCGAAGAUGGCACAUGCAUCUAGAUUCCAAAUAAAAGUGGUGAUCAAGCUCGGGAUGUUAAUAAAAAAGCAUGAUCAUGCAGUCUGGAGUUUACGAAUAAUCGACAUAAAGUCUGAAAGGUGAAACUUUUAAUCUGUGUAAUCAUUAAGCCAGAGUGAUGAUUAGGAGAAAUUAGGGUUGAGCAUGCUACAUAUAAAAAAUACAGGUGUAGCACCGAUAGUCCUUAAAGUGACACUUGUAGUAAGCAAAGGAGACACAACAGGUGCAUUUUGCAUUUUAGAUCUCUUGUACACCCUCUGCAAGUUUUGCAGCUUACCUUUCUUAAUCAGCAUCACAAUUUAUCU
rnacentral:lncRNA from 1 species